rnacentral:rRNA from 1 species
UGGGGAAUUGUUCGCAAUGGGCGCAAGCCUGACGACGCAACGCCGCGUGGAGGAUGAAGGUCUUCGGAUCGUAAACUCCUGUUGCCCGGGACGAAUGGCUUCGACCUAAUACGUCGGAGUAUGACGGUACCCCAGGAAUAAGUUCCGGCUAACUACGUGCCAGCAGCCGCGGUAAUACGAAGGGGGCUAGCGUUGUUCGGAAUUACUGGGCGUAAAGCGCACGUAGGCGGAUCAGCAAGUCAGGGGUGAAAUCCCGGGGCUCAACCUCGGAACUGCCUCUGAUACUGCUAGUCUAGAGUCCGGAAGAGGUGGGUGGAAUUCCUAGUGUAGAGGUGAAAUUCGCAGAUAUUAGGAAGAACACCGGUGGCGAAGGCGGCCCACUGGAUCGGUACUGACGCUGAGGUGCGAAAGCGUGGGGAGCAAACAGGAUUAGAUACCCAGGUAGUCCCUGAGCGGGCUGGCAAGGCGCAU